CAGCCUGUGCAGUUAACUCCCUCUUCCCGUCACAGUGAGAGCUUCCUCUGUCAGAGCAGACAAACGGACCGAAGCCACAGGCGGAAACGGGCUAACCACAGGGGCUGGGCUUCUGGUUAAUUCUUUUCUAGGUAAAGUUGGAAAAGUCCCUGUAAACGCCAACACUGAAGUUGCAGACAUGGGGGCGGCACUGACCAGCCUCUCAAAAUGUCCAUGAUUGGAAGGGGGGGGGGGGAGAAAGGGUGGAGAAAAAAGGAAGUUGUAUUGUAUGAUGCAAAUAUUAUUCAUUCUGAGAAGUGUUCACUCUCCCUGGGUUCAACUGAAGAGGCUAUUCUGAGAAAGAACCAUGAUUGAGGGUCACAAGUGAUGGAGGUGGCGGUCUUUGUGUCAGAUGGGCUAGACCCGGGGUGCCGGAGAGGAAGUAGGCCUGAAAGGAGAAAGCCAAAGUGGGCUAGCUUCCUGGAACUGAGGCCUUGGACAAUGGGCACAUGGCAUGGCACCUGCUCGGGUAACAACUACCACCCCAUGAGUUUAUCCACCAACCACAAGGGAAGUGAGCUUUUCAAACCAGGCCAAUUCCAAAAUGGGACAUCCACUCCUGUCACCUGAUUUUUCCAGGGGACUAUCAAGUAAUUCAAGUUGACCAUUAAGUUCCGUUGGAGAAGACGGCA